rnacentral:lncRNA from 1 species
GAGGCGGAGCUUGCAGUGAGCCAAGAUCGCGCCACUGCACUGCGGCCUGGGCAACAGAGCGAGACUGCAUCUCAAAACAAACAAACAAAACAAAACAAACAAACAAACAAACAAAAAACACAAGGGCAUUUUGAGGGUGAAAAUGGUCUGAGCAAGUGUUAAAUCUGAUGAAAUGUCUGGACAAUAGAUGUCAACCAGGACCAUCCCUGGUAAACCAGGAUUUACAGUAACCCACUAAUGCAAUGAGAUAGCAUAAGAAUUGUUUUUGAUGUAGACAGAAAGUAGAAUAAUGGUCACCAAGCGCUUGGAGAAGGAGGUAAUGGGGAGUUAUUGUUUAAUGGAUAGAGUUUUAAUUUGGAAUGAUGACAAAAUUCUGCAGUUGGAUGGUGGUGAUGGUUGUACAACAAUGUGAAUGUACUUAAUGCCACUAAAUUAUACACUUAAACAUGAUUAAAAUAGUAAGUUUUAUGUUAUAUAUAAUUAACCACAUAAAAAAGUUAUUUUCAAAAACGUAUUGUUUAUAAUGGGUUGGUAGAUUGAUGGACCUGAGGAAGCCAUGCAGUUUUUUCCUUGCAGUUCAGAGAGUGAAGAAUGUUUUCACACAGCUGAGAAUGUUGCAGAUUUGCCACUGAGAGCUGGGGAACCUUGAGAGGGGUUGAGGAGGAGGCCCUAGGAGAGACACAAGUUAAGGGCAAACGCCCUGAUGGGAACAAGGUAAUCUCAGAUGCAGCAGAGGUGGAUUAGAAGGAGUAGACGCCUCUUCUCAAAGGCCUUCAUACUACGUAGUAAGCUUCUCAAAUCUUAGAUUCAGUCUCCUAGGGGGAUUACAGGCAUGAGCCACUACACCUGGCCUGUAUUUUCUUUAAUGUGCUAUUUUGGAAAGUACUUUGAUUUAUUGUUUAUAGUUCUUACUAUUUAAUGAAGCCAAACAUUUUGUUUUCCUAAAUGAACACAUUUCAAAAUACACCAUGGUCAUCAAUAAGAAAAUAUGGUUUAAUUUACAUGUUACUUUUCUGAAUUAUUUCCAGAAAUGCCUCUACUGUAUAAAGUACAGUAAGGAAGCAGUGGACAACUGAGAAUCUAACAGGUGCAGUGGUUCUGGUUAAUGUUUUAGGCCAGCAGGAGGUAGAUGGAAAACCCAACCAUUUUGUUCAU